UACGUAGGGGGCAAGCGUUGUCCGGAAUCAUUGGGCGUAAAGCGCGUGUAGGCGGCCCGAUAAGUCCGCUGUGAAAGUCCAGGGCUCAACCCUGGGAUGCCGGUGGAUACUGUCGGGCUCGAGUCCGGAAGAGGAGAGUGGAAUUCCCGGUGUAGCGGUGAAAUGCGCAGAUAUCGGGAAGAACACCCGUGGCGAAGGCGGCUCUCGUGGGACGGUACUGACGCUGAGACGCGAAAGCGUGGGGAGCGAACGAGG
rnacentral:rRNA from 1 species